UGAAUUUCUAUCACUAUUUCUUACUAGGCAGGAAGCUUGCAUAAGAGGCUAUACCCCAAUCUCUAACUCUCGCUCUGCCUGUCCUUCUUUAUCUAUCUUCAUUUCUACAAUGACUUUCUCAUUGUGAUUUGAUUCCCUGAAUUCGUUUUUUUAAUCAUCUCGCGGAAAUCUCUUUUUUCUCGGAUCCGAAGGUCGAUCUCUCUCUGCGUGCUGAUUUUGAAACCCCAACCUGUCCCCCGUAAGCGUUGGCAUUUCUCUGUCCAGGUUUUAACUUAUCUUUUAGAUUUCUUCCCAACUUUCUUUAAAUUCCCUCACAUUUUCAAUCCCAUUCCAAUUUUUAUUUAAUCUUCCUCAACUAUCAUUUUCUUUUUCAUAAUUGAAAUUUCAGAAAAACAAGAUCAAUCCAUCAAAAUCAUCGCUUCUUCCUAGAGCUCUCAAAUACCCAUAACAACAUUCUUGUAAGUUCUUCAAUUUCUUAUUUUAAGUUGAUAUCACAAGUCCAGAUCAUCAAUGGCUGACCUACAGCGACCUACAAAACCUGUUCUCCAAAGACCUCCCGGUUACAGAGACCCGAGAAAUCCGGGCAGACCUGUCUCCAGACCACCACUUCGAAAAGGCGUACUCCCACCUUCAUUCCAGCCGAGGGGCAAUCGCAAAUUCUGUAGUUGUCGUCUAUUCUGGUGCAUCCUCUGCAUUACCUUCUUAACCAGCUUAUUCUUCCUAGGAAUCCUAGGUGGUUUUAUUUACCUCUGGUUCGAUCCUAAACUCCCCGUUUUCCACAUCCAGUCACUUAAGAUCCCCACUUUUAAAGUCAGUGCUAAACCCGACGGCACCUAUCUUAAUUCCGCGACGGUGGUAAGAGUGGAGGUGAGCAACCCAAACUCUAGGCUAACGUAUCGAUACAGUGUUCUCCAGGUGGACAUGAUACUGGGGAAGGAUCAGGGGACUGAGUUGGGAUCCACGACUCUGCCAGGGUUCACUCAGGGUAAAAGGAACACUACGAGUCUUAAGAUUGAGACUCAUGUGAAGAACCAACUGAUUGACGAUGGGAAUGCAUCGAGGCUUAAGACUCGGUUUAAACACAGGAAUUUGGUGGUGAACCUGCGGGUGAAGACCAGUGUGGGAUUGGGCGUGGUGAAAGGAUUCGAGAUAGGGAUGUUAGCAGUGGAUGUGUUGUGUGAUGGUAUAACCAUGAAGGAGAUUGACGGUGGUCAUAUGCCAGAAUGCACUAUUCGCACGCUCAAAUGGAUAAACUUAAAUUGACAUUUAUCUGUGUGUGUAUGGAGUUUGAUGGUAGCAAGAAGACUGAUGAUACAAUUGUACCCAUUUUUAUUAAAAAAGAAAACAAGAAAUGUAAUAUUUACAUACAAUAUUCUUUUCUUUAAGAUGGGGGAGACGGGAGAUCGCAUUGACAGCAAAAACGUGGGUCCAUGUCUAAAAUUUGGUUCCUACUGUGAUAUAAUUGUAUUGGGGAUACAGACAACAUGAACUUAAUUAUUUGUUUAAUUUUGGUAGUUGAUGUGGGCUUAUUUUAU
rnacentral:misc_RNA from 1 species